GGGACUGACUCCCCACGUGCCCCUGCAUCGCAGCCAUCAUGAGCCACGCCUGCUACCUCGAGCUGAAAAACUCUGCAGUGAUGUCUCUGGGGACCAAAGCCCUGCAUCUAGACAUAGAACAUGCAAAGGAAGGGAUUUUAAAGGCUCCAGCAUCAUAGGGACCCAAGGAAAUUCCUCCCUCUGAGCUGAAUGGGAAGUCUUUCCCCCCCCCACCUUCCAGGGAAUGAGCAUGCAACAACAUGCCUUGCUGAUACUUUACCCUGGAAUUUCUAUAGCGAAGGCAGCAGGC